GACGAACGCUGGCGGCGUGCUUAACACAUGCAAGUCGAACGAUGAUGCCAGCUUGCUGGUGGAUUAGUGGCGAACGGGUGAGUAACACGUGAGCAACCUGCCCCUGACUUCGGGAUAACCGCGGGAAACCGUGGCUAAUACCGGAUAUGACGCGCUAUCGCAUGGUGGUGUGUGGAAAGAUUUAUCGGUUGGGGAUGGGCUCGCGGCCUAUCAGCUUGUUGGUGGGGUGAUGGCCUACCAAGGCGACGACGGGUAGCCGGCCUGAGAGGGUGACCGGCCACACUGGGACUGAGACACGGACCAGACUCCUACGGGAGGCAGCAGUGGGGAAUAAUGCACAAUGAGCGCAAGCCUGAUGCAGCGACGCCGCGUGAGGGAGGACGGCCUUCGGGUUGUAAACCUCUUUCAGUAGGGAAGAAGGCCUUCGGGUUGACGGUACCUGCAGAAGAAGCGCCGGCUAACUACGUG
rnacentral:rRNA from 1 species